rnacentral:miRNA from 1 species
UUCCAGUCCAUGUACCAUCAGU